rnacentral:lncRNA from 1 species
AAAGCUUUAAGAUGUCUUAAACAGGCUAUCUCUCAAUCUGACGAGAAAAAGUUGUAGAAAUGAAAUGACAGUGUACAAAUUCAUAUUUUACAUCAUUUUAUUAAUAUGAAAAGCUAGUUGUUUCUUAAACUAUUGGUUCCAUGAUGUUUUAAACUCAAUCUUCACAAACUUACGCAUGCAUAACAUUUAUAUAACAGGGUUUCUUAGCUAACAAGGUUUGCCU